rnacentral:misc_RNA from 1 species
CAGCCGCGUAAUUCCAGCUCCAAUAGCGUAUAUUAAAGUUGUUGCAGUUAAAAAGCUCGUAGUUGAAUUUCGGGAUUGACGUGAUGGUCAUGCCUUAAGGGGUAUGAACUGUUACAGUUGAUUUCUCACCUUCUGGAGAAACUUGAUGUCCUUUAUUGGGUGUCUUGCGGAUCCAGGACCUUUACCUUGAAAAAAUUAGAGUGUUUAAAGCAGGCAUUUUUGCUCGAAUACAUUAGCAUGGAAUAAUAGAAUAGGACGGCAUGGUUCUAUUUUGUUGGUUUCUAGGAUCACCGUAAUGAUUAAUAGGGAUAGUUGGGGGCAUUAGUAUUCAAUUGUCAGAGGUGAAAUUCUUGGAUUUAUUGAAGACUAACUACUGCGAAAGCAUUUGCCAAGGAUGUUUUCAUUAAUCAAGAACGAAAGUUAGGGGAUCGAAGACGAUCAGAUACCGUCGUAGUCUUAACCAUAAACUAUGCCGACUAGGAAUCAGACGAUGUUAAUUUUUUAAUGACUCGUUUGGCACCUUACG